rnacentral:lncRNA from 10 species
CCUUUUCCUUCACCUCCUCAGCCUCACUGGCCAAUUCUGGGCUGGGCCUGGUCCCUGCAGGGUGAAGGGAUGCAGAUCCCACCCACCCUUUAAGAAGCAACCCAAGCAUCCCCUCCUCUGCAAGGAAGUCGAGUGAGCACCUUCCUCUUCUACCACAGAGUCCUGUUCUUGUCUGUCAUGGUAUUUAGCAUCUGGAAUUGUUUAUCUGUGUACAGAGGUGUCUCCCUGCUAGACUUACUCCAAGAGCGUGGGCCAGGUCUGUUUUAUCUGUGUAUUCCCAGGAUGGCACCUGGCACAUGGUAGGCCCCUACUACAUAUGGGAUGGAUGGACAGGUGGAUGGGCAGAUGGAUGACGGGGUUGAAGUCCACUGUUGGCCCUUACCUGUAGGGGG